CCUACGGGAGGCAGCAGUGAGGAAUAUUGGUCAAUGGUCGCAAGACUGAACCAGCCAUGCCGCGUGCAGGAUGAAGCAUCUAUGGUGUGUAAACUGCUUUUGUACGGGAAGAAACACUCCUACGUGUAGGGGCUUGACGGUACCGUAAGAAUAAGGAUCGGCUAACUCCGUGCCAGCAGCCGCGGUAAUACGGAGGAUCCAAGCGUUAUCCGGAAUCAUUGGGUUUAAAGGGUCCGUAGGCUGCUUUAUAAGUCAGUGGUGAAAUCCGGCAGCUUAACUGUCGAAUUGCCAUUGAUACUGUAGGGCUUGAAUUGUUGUGAAGUAACUAGAAUAUGUAGUGUAGCGGUGAAAUGCUUAGAUAUUACAUGGAAUACCAAUUGCGAAGGCAGGUUACUAACAAUAUAUUGACGCUGAUGGACGAAAGCGUGGGUAGCGAACAGGAUUAGAUACCCUGGUAGUCCACGCUGUAAACGAUGGAUACUAGCUGUUGGUUGUAGUACUAGAGUGGUCGUAGACGAAGUAGAGUAAGUAGUACCGACCGUCGGGUAGGUACGUUAACGACGUAAGUUAGUUAACGUACGAAGGAAGUUAGUACGGCGUUGAGACGUUGCCGACGGACGACGACGAGGGAGGAGG
rnacentral:rRNA from 1 species